UACGUAGGGUCCGAGCGUUGUCCGGAUUCAUUGGGCGUAAAGGGUGCGUAGGCGGCGCGGUAAGUCGGGUGUGAAAUCUCGGAGCUUAACUCCGAAACUGCAUUCGAUACUGCCGUGCUUGAGGACUGGAGAGGAGACUGGAAUUUACGGUGUAGCGGUGAAAUGCGUAGAUAUCGUAAGGAAGACCAGUGGCGAAGGCGGGUCUCUGGACAGUUCCUGACGCUGAGGCACGAAGGUCAGGGGAGCAAACGGG
rnacentral:rRNA from 1 species